CGGUGCAGUGUAUCAUGCGGCGUCUCCUUGGUGAGCCAAGAGUCACCACGGCGGAUACACCUGGGGCAACCAGAGGCGGCGACCGUGCAGCCAGAGCCGGAGUCCUCGAAGCCAACGGAACCCGCGCUUCCGCGCCCGCAGCCAAAGUUCGUACGGACGUUACGAACCACGCAAGAGCCGCCCGCGCAUCCGGGACCCCGCCGCCGCCACAUGGGGUUCGGGGACUCCGCGCGGGCAGGAUCGGGGUCGGUCCGAGCGCUCCGCAGGCUCACUCCGCUUAGCAGGAAAUGUUUCCCUGGUGCGUGCUAAGGAAAUGCCAGGGGAGAGCGCGAACGCAGUCCCCCACUACCACAAAUUAUGCAGUCGAGUUUCCCGCAUUUGGGGAAAUCGCAGGGGUCAGCACACCCCAAGUGCAAUGGGUGGGCCUCGCCCUGGGAAAACCACCUACUUGAUCAUGGUAUCUCCCCUGCCAGGUAAGUAUGCUUUCCACACGCGCAGGCCCGACCCAGCCACACCGGCCCUGCGCUCUCAACACACGGUCACUUCGCCGCGCGCGCUCCGGGGCCUCCGCCGACGCGCACCCCGCUCCUGCGCUACGCUCACGCCCGCCCACCCGCGAUCCCCCCAGGCCGCGCGCGAAAUCCCUCGAGUUCUCGCCUCAGUGAGGACGCGGCAGCCCCUGCGCGACCCUCAUCUGCAUAGACCACGCCCCCGAGUCGCACCCAAGGGUGACAUCACACCCCUCCCUUGGUCCGGUCGGUUUGUUGGACUUUCUUGCUCUAGGAGAGCUGGAUGGAGCGUUGCAGGGCCGGACACAAAUCGCCCUGAGUUAUCUCAAAGCCCUAAAGAGCCGUUGGUCACCCACCCCGAUGGCCUGACAGCCUUGUCACCGGCGUUGCUGUGAACCAGGUCGUCAGGCAGCACCGGAGCCAGCCCUGAGCACUCAGAGAGAGGUCUCCCCGCUUCGCUAGAACCUCACUGCCUCACGUCGCCACCACUGGAUUUUACAGGGCUCUUGUGUAUGAUUUUCUUUUCUCUUCUACAGAAUGAUCACGCAACUGACACUUUAAGUCGGGACGUGGUAUUUGGGGUGACCCAAGUCUGUGUUCCUGGUUCAGGGGGAUCACUGUCCCCUCUCUGGACCUCCUUGGGUUCCUGCAUGUAAGUCGUGCACACACACACACACUCAGGCACAAACACAUGUACACAAAAUAAGUAAGUACUCUCUUUUCCGUGUUGUGUCCGUGGGGGAGGGGCAGGCUGUGCGCCACGACUCCAGUGUGGAGGCCAGCGGACACUUUGUGACAGCCAGAUCUCUUUCCGCCUUGCCUAGUACGUGGAUCAAGCUCGUGGAUUGUGGAGCCUGAUGGAUGGCAACUGCCCUUGCCCUUCCUGGCCUAUAAACCAUCUCUCUGGCCCUUUGAAAGAUCCCUCUCCUCUCCCUGUCCCUCUCCCCGUCUCUACCCCAUCUCUCCCUCUGCCUCUCUUCAUCCCUCUUCAUCGCCCUCCCCACCACCACCCCAACACAGGGUCUACCCUGUCUACAAAAAGCACUUUGAAUAAGCUUUCUGCCACCACACCCGGCUACCUUAAAACCUCUUUAACCCACUCACAGACACAACACUGCGUUGUAAGGUUUACAGAUGAUCCUAAUGUUUUGCCAUUACAUCAGAAAUUUAAGUGCUCUCCUUGGAACAAGAAUUUAUCUGGAGCUUCAGGCGCAAAGAAGGUUAAAGUGACUGAGGUAAAAUACAAAUGAUGAAUGUGCAUGCAUGCGUAUCACAAAGGUAAAUAGAUGACUCAAUUAUAAAGACAAAAAAAAAAAAGAUAAAAACAAAAACUCUGCUCUCAUUGUCUCAAGGCUCAAAAGGGAAAGAUCCAACAAAUUGGUUAGUGCAGUUUUGUUGGUCAGAAGAAAGUGUCUGCAGGAUUCUUAACAUGUUUGCCCGUAUUUAUAAUUGUUAGAUGCCUAAGAUACUAAAUACACAUUUCCAGUGUUUUGGAUACAGCUACCUGGAGUUUUGUUGGGAAUAUAGCUGUUUUAUAAAGAAAACAGUGUUUUCUCCAUGAUUCUCUCAGUACGUGUUUUCUUUAUUGCUUUGAUGUCCAAGUUCAGGUCUUGAACAGUUUUAUUCAUUUCCUUCACCAGUUUGAUACCCCACCCCCACCCCGGUUUCCUUUGAAUGAUUCAUUCAUUUCUCCUUAAGGACUUAUAUCAUCUUCAUAAAGUUGGUGUUCGGGUCUUUUUCUUGUGUUUCAAGUGUGUCAGGGUGUUCAGGGCUUGCUGUAGAUGGAUAGCUGGAUAGCUGGAUAGCUGGAUAGCUGGAUAGGGAAGUGAUCAGCAUAGGCACUGCCCCCCACCCCCAGACCACCUUCUCAGCACAAAGGAGAUGCAUUUGCCCCAGAGGGACAGGAGCAGGGAAUCAGAGACAAAGAUGAGAUGGAAGACUAAGAAAAAAGAAAAGGGUACAAGGUAGAGGGGGAAAUGAUAUUUGUGCCAGACAGACAAAGGACUGCCUCUGGAUAGAGGGGAGACAGAGGGACCUGGCCCAGAGGCAGAUGGCAGUUUA
ensembl:lncRNA